rnacentral:lncRNA from 1 species
UUUUCUGAGACGGAAAGUCUUCGGGCCUCUUUUGGACCCAUAUUCACCCUAAAUUCGGCCCAAAUGUGAUUUUUGAGUUCCGUAACUCAGAAUUGAAUUCUAAUUACGUCAUUGGCUUCGAAAUAUUAUUUCGAGUCAAAAUAGAUACCAAUUUUGUCCAUAACUCAUCUCUAUAUAUUUUUCACUCCGAAAUCCAAGUUUCGAUGUUCUAAACGUAACCCUAGAUCGGGAGAUUUUUAAUCUUCGAUCGAAUUUUUAAUCAUGAUGUUUCAUCGCAUCAGUCACAUCACCCAUUCAUGAGUCAAGUUUGCUUGUUGAAUAAGUAAAAGUACAAUCAAUUACAUGAUCUCCUAAACCACUCAUCAACUCCUUACACCACCAUGAUUUUGGGGAUCCACUUUGAUCUUCCCCCAAAUCUGAUUUUCCCCUCUAUAAAAGC